rnacentral:rRNA from 1 species
GAUUAUGGCUCAGGAUGAACGCUAGCGGCAGGCCUAACACAUGCAAGUCGCGGGGCAGCACGGGUAGCAAUACCUGGUGGCGACCGGCGCACGGGUGCGUAACGCGUAUGCAACCUACCUAUCAGAGGGGAAUAACCCGGCGAAAGUCGGACUAAUACCGCAUAAAACAGGGGCACCGCAUGGUGAUAUUUGUUAAAGAAAUUCGCUGAUAGAUGGGCAUGCGUUCCAUUAGGUAGUUGGUGAGGUAACGGCUCACCAAGCCGACGAUGGAUAGGGGAACUGAGAGGUUGGUCCCCCACACUGGUACUGAGACACGGACCAGACUCCUACGGGAGGCAGCAGUGAGGAAUAUUGGUCAAUGGGCGGGAGCCUGAACCAGCCAAGUCGCGUGAAGGAAGAAGGAUCUAUGGUUCGUAAACUUCUUUUGCAGGGGAAUAAAGUGCAGGACGUGUCCUGUUUUGUAUGUACCCUGAGAAUAAGGAUCGGCUAACUCCGUGCCAGCCGCAGC